rnacentral:tRNA from 1 species
GGUGGAGGCAGACAGCGGAGACGUGUGCCGUCUCGCUGUCGACGAGGCGGACCUGGGUGCGCUCGGCGUGCUUCUCGGCCC